rnacentral:lncRNA from 1 species
GGGUGGGGGCGGGGAGACACAGGCAACCCACCCUAGGAUCCUAAAAAUAUGCCUGGAGAGUGCGCAUGUACCAACUGUUUGGAAUGGUUCCCAACGCACAAGAAAUAGAACUGAUCCAUGCAGCUAUGACUGCAACCCUCUCAGUAUGUGGAAUUCAACAGGAGUGGGAGUGGGAUGAGGGAGGGCCUCCGGGGGGGCAGGUUUAGAACUCCUGACAGCCAAAGACGCAGGGCCCUGGGUGAGCGCGGUGUGGUGAGGAGCUGCGCACGCUUAUUUUCUGCAUCCUGCAGUCUGACCACAAGCAGUCCUGCUCCUCUCCCUACCCCUGGCUUUCACACACAAAGAGGCUCCCUUCCCUAAGCCACAGACUCGGGGAACUGGAAGGUACCCUGAAAUUCAUCAGUGUGAUUCUAAAGUAAAAGCCCCAAGGAAGGUGUCCAGUUUCAAAGUGCAUGGGAAUCAUGUGGAAGAAAAAAAGGCAAAUUCCUAGGCCCUGCCCCUCAAAUUUUCAUUCACGAAAUCUAAGAUGGGGCUGGGAACCUGUAUUUUGCUCUCAAACUGUCAUUUGGGAAAGCGUGGAUCUUUGCAUCUUUUCAUCCAUUUCAACUCAACUGCCAUUUCUUCAAAAAGGCCUGUUAUUAUUGCCCACCCAAAGUAGCCCCCAGUCCCAGCCCAGCCACUUUCUAUCCCAUUAUCUCAUCUUAUUCCCUUAGAGCACCUGUCACUAUCCAGUAGGAUCUCGUUGACUUAGUGACUGUGUCCCAUGCUAAGACCAGAAGCUCCCGGAGAGCAGGGACCAUGCCUUUGGACAUCUCUGUAUGUCCCUGUGCCUGCCACAUAAUAGUUCUAGACAUAUUAUUGAAUGAGUGGACAAACCUGGCCCUGAUUUUUUUUUUUUUCAACAGGGAGGGCAUUUCGAUUCCACCCUGCCCCAGUCAUGACUGCGAAUUUUAGGGGCUGAAGUCAUCUUGGCUCUCCUGCCAGCCUCCUCCUCAGCCCCCUGCUAACACAGCACUCCAAUGCUCACUAAAGCAGCCGCCACCGAGUGACAUCACCCCUAAGAAGAUGCCCGUCACCCUGACAGUGCUGCUCCAGGGCAAAUUCCACUGAAACAACCCAAGAGUUACAAGGAAGGGGAAAAGCCUGUGGCAGCAUUGGAAAACAGAGAACAAUAUCAUCAAGUGACCGAUAGCACAGACGGAUUUCUGAACGAAAUGAAGAUGAUGGAAUCAGAUCAACAGGGAAGCAGAUGGUGCCCAACAGCCUAGUGAUGUAACACUGGCAAGAUUCCCAAAAGUGCCCCAAAGAUGCCCAAGUAGAGGUUAAGGGAGAAGCAAGGCACCGGGUACUACUGUUUGCAGCAAACACGGAUGCUGGCCUGCCCAGGGGCCCCUCUCUCCUUUUGGAUUUUAUUCAGGAAUCAUCGUUGGUCUCAGGUGAUCAUGACACAGCUAUUCUCCUUUGCCAGUGACUGACAUGAGAUUCAGAUCUCACUAAUAAGAUGUAAGAGGAUGUCUCCUGGGAGCUUUUGGAAACUGUUUCAUCCCUGAAAAGGGAAGGCACAUGAAGAAAAAUCCAACAUCCUUUUGCUACUGACUUCUUGCUUCCUGUUUUGUAUCCUGCCAUGUGAAAAUACAGCAUUUGGAGAUGUGGCAACUUUGUGCUGGCCAUGAAGGAAUGCGUCCCCCACACGGCAGAGUACAAGGACCAAAGAAGCCAGGCCAUCGCCCCAGGCCGGCCUCCCUCACUGGAUAAACAGCAUAUGCCCUUAUGCUGCAUGAGCUGGAUUUUCCCUUUCUUGUGGCUGAAAUGCAUUUGGAUACAGUUUGUUUAUACUCAUAGAGUCACUGUAAGUCAGGGGCUUAUUGUCAGGAACUACUUAACACUUUGCUUAGGAUAUUGGAUUUAAAGAAAGGAAUUUUGGGGAAUCCAUGCUAUAGAAAUAAAAGUAUCAGUAAGUAAGAGGGGGAAACAUACAAAUUUAAAAUGUGCACAUAAGAAACUUAAUAGUAACUCCUCCCUGCUGGGGGCAUGGGAAGGGAGAAAUGAAGGAACAAUUAUUUUUCAUUUGGUACCAUUCUCUGUAUGGCUUGGAUUUUCUUGCUAUUAUUUUUAUUUGUUAAAAUCUGGGCAGUGCAAUAAUGGGGCACUUCUAUUUCUUCCGUUUUCUGUAUUUUCCAUUUCCCUCUAUUUUCUGUAUUAGAAAUACACUACUUAGCCGGACAUGGUGGCUCAUGCCUGUAAUCCCAGCACUUUGGGAGGUCAAGGCGGGCAGAUCACCUGAGGUCAGA